GAUGAACGCUGGCGGCGUGUCUAAUACAUGCAAGUCGAGCGAACGGACGAGAAGCUUGCUUCUCUGAUGUUAGCGGCGGACGGGUGAGUAACACGUGGAUAACCUACCUAUAAGACUGGGAUAACUUCGGGAAACCGGAGCUAAUACCGGAUGAUAUUUUGAACCGCAUGGUUCAAAAGUGAAAGACGGUCUUGCUGUCACUUAUAGAUGGAUCCGCGCUGCAUUAGCUAGUUGGUAAGGUAACGGCUUACCAAGGCAACGAUGCAUAGCCGACCUGAGAGGGUGAUCGGCCACACUGGAACUGAGACACGGUCCAGACUCCUACGGGAGGCAGCAGUAGGGAAUCUUCCGCAAUGGGCGAAAGCCUGACGGAGCAACGCCGCGUGAGUGAUGAAGGUCUUCGGAUCGUAAAACUCUGUUAUUAGGGAAGAACAUAUGUGUAGGUAACUGUGCACAUCUUGACGGUACCUAAUCAGAAAGCCACGGCUAACUACGUG
rnacentral:rRNA from 1 species